CACGGAGUUAGCCGAUGCUUUUUCUCCGGGUACUCUCGAUGCGGUACACGUACCGCUUUUUGCUCCCCGGCAAAAGAGGUUUACAAUCCAUAGGACCGUCUUCCCUCACGCGACUUGGCUGGUUCAGGCUCUCGCCCAUUGACCAAUAUUCCUCACUGCUGCCUCCCGUAGGAGUCUGGUCCGUGUCUCAGUACCAGUGUGGGGGACCUUCCUCUCAGAACCCCUACGCAUCGUCGUCUUGGUGGUCCGUUACACCGCCAACUAACUAAUGCGGCGCAUGCCCAUCCGUCACCGGAUCGCUCCUUUGACCGGAAAAGGAUGUCCCCCCCCGGUAUUAUGCGGUAUUAGGCGGGAUUUCUCCCGGUUAUCCCUCUGUGACGGCCAGGUUGCAUACGUGUUACUCACCCGUGCGCCGGUCGCCGGCAGUAGUAGCAAGCUUACUACCCGCUGCCCCUCGACUUGCAUGUGUUAAGCCUGUCGCUAGCGUUCAUCCUGAGCCAGGAUCAAACUCU
rnacentral:rRNA from 1 species